UGCUAUAUAUAUAUAUAUAUAUUAUAUAAUAUGCUUUGGGAUAAAGUAAGUUAUAAAAGUUAGUCUAUAUUUGAAAUGAUGAAUUUUCUUUUUUAUAAACAUAAGUUGAAUUGAUAUAUUGAUAUAUAAUACUGGUUAUAAUAAAUGUAAUCGAGAUAGGUCCUUGUUUUAGACAAUUCUUCGGUCUUGCUCCUUCUAUGCACGCAUCGAUAGAAAUUAUCGUAACUUAGUAACACACACUUUCAUUAUCUAUUAAUAAUAUAAAGUAACACAAAUAUUGGGUUGUUGACAGGGAAUGCUACACACACAAAAAAUAACAGACUUUAUUAAAUUAAAUUGCACACAUCUAUCUACCAAACAACACACAAUUUGAUAGUUGUCAGUUUUGCUCAGACUCAUAUUAUUUAAUAUUAGAAAGAAUAUAACUAAUUAAAUCAAGUUGUAUCAUAUUUAUCUUAACACAUACCCUUCAUGUGUAGGACUAAACGAUAACAUAUGAUGUGUGAAGUUUGCAAAAGACUAAACAUAUGUGAGUAGCCAAUUGGAAGAGUUGGCUCUGAUACAUAUAAAAAUGAUCAGAUUUAACUCAACCUCAAAAGUUAGCUCUUAUGGUGAGAACUGUCUAAACUUUAUUAAGUAAUAGUUGGAUUAUAUUUUGAUGACAUGUUGAACUUCUCUAACAAAUAAAAACACAACAAACCCCUAUGAUGUUAUUAAUACUGCUAUAUUAUUGAUUACUAUUGAGAGAAGAAAAGUACAAAUCUAAUUAUUGUUAAUACUAACUUAUUAAUAUGUAUGCAAACAAAACAUGAUAGCAGCAAUUUGGUAGGCUACAAAAGAACAAAAUGCUUUCAAAAUCUUGAAACUUAGGAUUAUCUUUCCUGCGGGGAACUUGCAAUUUUAGAUAUAGCUUAUGAUCAUGUCAUUUUCAUAGCCAAAAUCUGGUUAUUAUCAAUGAGAAAUGAGUGCCAAGUAGCCCAUUUUAUAUAAAGUCUUAUUAUGCUGUGUAGGCCAUCCGUAUCUUAAUCUGCAUAUGAUGAUUGCUGUGAAUCAAACUUAUCCUUAACUGGUUCAAUCUUGAUCUUAAGCCAGUCAGCUUUUGUAUGCAGUGUACUGAAUUUGCACGCAUUAGAAAGAGAUACCAAAUUUUAGAUAAACUCUUGUAUAAGAGUACAAUAUUUUUAUAUUUACAUACUCUUAUAUAUUAAUAAUAUGUACUUUUGUAUCAGUUUUCUUCUUAUUUCAUAAAAUGAAAAGUGAGAUGCACAAACAUUGUGGUAGUGUCUCUUUCAAGUAUUUCAUUAGUGGGAGUCCAAAAAAUAUAUUUGAGAGAAAUUUCACUGAUACAAAGUUAUCUUGCUAAAGUUGGUUAUAGUGCUGAAAAAAGAGUUUGUUAACGAGUAGCUGAUAUAUUCGUCCUAUGGCCAUUUACCAAAAUCUAUUGCAAUAUUUUAUAAUAUGGAUAAAGAUCUGUCUAAAGAAAUGGAGAGGACUAUGACCCCAAAAUGAACUAUGUCAAAUAGCUGCAGUUAACAGGUUUCCCAUAUAUUUACCAAAAGCUACAACAACAACCAAACAUUUAUCCCAUUAGGUGGGGCCAGUUAUGUGGAUUGGCCGACACCAUAAUUCUCCACUAAACCAAAAGCUGCAAAGGAUGAAAAAUCUGCCUCAAACAAAAUCAUACUAUCAAGAAACUUCAAUUAUUCUUCAAGAGGCCAUGCACUAACAUUAAUGUAUCAAACAUUUGAUGUGAUUUUUCAUCAAGCUGCUUUACUAUUUCUAUUUUUCUUUUUAUAUAGGAGAAAUGUUAUAUAAAUAGAUGACAUUAUAGGCAGAGUUACAAAUUGGACUAUUAGAACAAGUCUUGAACUAGAUGCAGACUUGGCAACUUUUUUCACUAUACAUGCUAUAUGCUGAUGAUGGAAACACUCAUUUUCACUUUAUUGUAGCACUUUCACUGCCACUUAGUUGACACAAAUUAUUACAAAAAAUAUACAUCAUUCUAGUGAUUAGAAAUAGCUCAAGCGAGAGUCUGUUGAACGUGCAUGUGUUUGACGACGUGGUGUUCCAAUCUCACAAGCAUUUACUCUUGAUGCAAACCUGAGUGAGCAUAGUGACUCGCCAACUGAAGUAGGAUCGGGCGAGAUGUUUACGAACAUUAACGUCUUCGAGUCACCACCUAGACAAGGCUGUUCAAUCAUAUUGUAUUGAAGACAUUAGGUAAUCUUAAAUUGUUUAAAGCAAGUAACAAAGAAAUCAUCGAUGUUUGUGUAAAUUUUAUGCAAGAAAUAAAAGAAUGAGAAUUACCUGAAGUAGAUAUGUUAGUUUUGAGUUCCUGAAUGGCACAUGAUCUUCCUUCUUGGCCAAGGCAAAUAUAACAUCACUCAGUGAUGACAAACUUUUGUUGAUUGCCUGAUAAGAAAAGAAUGAAAAUUUAAAUUAGUUGAAACCAAAUAAGCACAAGUAAAAAGAAAAUAUCAUGGCUUUACACAUACUUGAGUUUCUUUCAACCUGUCCCCGGUUGAUCCACUCUUCGAAAGACGCUCGCUACCAGCAAGAUCAAUAAGAUUCAAAAUGCCUUGUACUUGUUGGUCAGUGCUCUAGCAGAAAAAAAUAAAAUAGAUUCCAUCAUCAUACAAGAAUAUGUGUAUGGAUGAUUCAGAUAGAAAUUGAUAACACAAAUAUAGAAAAAUGGUUUUUUGUUGUUAUCAUAAGAGAAACAUCUAUACCUCAUUUACACCAUAUAUUCGAAGAGUGAAUACAAAAUGGCUUCUUGACGAUUGUUCAUUCAUCUGAGUCUUUCCCACUGAUCUAAAAGGAAAUAACCAGAAAAAACCAAUAUAGUUAAGUUUGAGAAAAAAACAGCAAAGUAUUUUGACUUCUAAGAGGAAAUAAAUCAAUACUUUGUUGCACAGGAAUUAUGUAAAAUCAUGUUCUACCAAACCAAUUUCUCAAUUCUCCUGAUCUCAUUCAAAGUAAUAAAAUGAUAUUCCCUAAAUACAUCAAGAAGUAUAACUAUAUAAUUUAGUCAUAAAAUGACAAGUACCUAGUAAAAAAUGAACAGUUGCAGCACAACCAAAUAGAAUAAACACUAGAAACAAGUUACCUGCUAUUUGCAGCUUGAUUUAACAGAAAUCCGACCUCUUUAAUACUGUUAACAUCCACUACAGUAAGAUCCGAAACAUGUGUAUUUCCACUUGCAUCAUGUUUGAUUGUGUAUUGUUUUCCAGGAGUACCAUUUUCUAAGCGAGUUGCUUCUGAUGAUAAUCUGUUUGACGAUAACAGAUCACGAAUGGUUUCAUUGUAUAUUUCCAACAUUGACACCUGAAAAUUUUAACAGGAAAACCUUCUCAACAUCAUAUUUAAAAGUUAAUGCACCUUGCAAUGAAGAGGGGAAUCAAGAAGAAAGUACUCUAUGUUACCUGCAUUUCAUAUUUCCAACCUUGAGGUUGUUGAGACUGCUUUGCUUGAAAUAUUUGUUCUAGCGAACGAGGUAUCAAGCCCUUUUCCUCAGGAUGCCCUGGCCUUCCCAUCAUUGUAUAGGUUUUUCCGGAGCCAGUCUGGCCAUAGGCAAAGAUGCAAACCUGAAAAAGAAAAUAUCAUCAAAAUUUAAGGAACUGUAAUGCUAAACAUGCAUGUAUAAACAUUGAUUUAUAACAAUGCAUAUUAGAAAAAUACAAUACCCCAGACCAAAUCUAAUAGAUUAACUUGUGCAUUACAACACAUAAGGGGCAGAACCUAAAAGAUCUCUAUGACAUAAAAGAGCAAAGAUGCUAUAGAGCAGAGCACUGCAUAGAAAAAUUAAGAUUUUACUAAAUCUGUUUUUUUCCAAAAUUGACUAGCAAUUAUGCAGCGGUUUGCAGAUAUGUAUACAAUAUAAUUCAAAAUCAAUAAAGAUGUUUUGCAGAGAUACUGGAAGAAUUUCUAAAUUACCUUAUAACCAUCAAGAGCACUUUGUACUAGCUGUGAAAUUUCUACAAAAACGUCUUCUUGUGUUGCCUCCGGUGUAAAAACUUUAUCAAAUGUAAAAGAAUGUUUUUGGCCUAAGACAAAUCAAGAGCAGCAUUAGUUGAAAAAAUUAUUAAAUGAUAAAAUUAGAAAAAAGAGUAACUUCAAAGAAAUCAUCACAAGAAAUGUGAUAUUACCACUUUGGGUUAGAUCAAUGUCUCGUCCAGAAGCUUCCAUGGAUGUUGGAUAACUGAAAAUCUUGCCUUCUGUGCUACAACUUUCAUCGGGCAACAAAGGCCUCACUCGACAGAAUACGCGGAUGUUCCCUUUUAGUUCCUGUUAAAAUGGAGAUUACUCAGGUGUGAAUUUGUAAUAUCAACACAUUUUUGGCCCAGUGAAUUACCAAAAUGGUAUUAUGUAAUUUUUUCCGCAGCCUCUCCCCUUCUAUAAGUUUAUAUUCUGCAUCUGCAACGCGUCUUUGUAACUCAUUUACAAAUUUCUGUUGUCCUUCAAAUUCCGUCCUUGUCUCGAAUGCAGAUAUAUCAAGCACCUAAAAAAGAACAAAAGCAAUGAAUAAGAUAGAUAAUCGUUAUAAUGUAUAUGUGAUGAACCAACUCUCACCAAUGCUUAAAUUGUUAAGAGGAGGUCCAUGAAGGGUUUUAUAUCUAACGCAUCCUCCACGCAAGUACCCUUUGGCUAGCAUACGGGCAAUGCAAUCACUGUACUUUGUUAUGAAACUCUCUUUUCUCUUAUUAGAAGAAUGAGGACAACAAUGGUUGAACUCUUCGCUACUUGAUCUUAGAGAUUCUAAUACCAUGUAAAGGACCAAGUCUAUCAAAAGAUUAAGCUGUUAGGUAGAUCUAACAGUAUAGACUUUCUUAUUUAAAGUUUGUCUUUAUUACCUGAAGUUUCUUCUCUGCAAUUGCUAGUUGCUCUUGCAAUUCUCUUAUCUGAUUAUCUUUUAAAGAGCAAUUCGCCUGUGCAGAAAACUUGUCAUCUCAUAUGACUUCAUAAUAACAAGGGUAUGCAAUCUUUAAUAGAAAAUGGGGUUACAAAACCAACCUCCAGUUCAUUUGCUUUUAGUGUCAAGUUGUCCAGUUCAGUGCACGAACUUUCCCUGGAUUCUUUUAAUUUCUCUAAUUCAAAAGUUAAAGUUUGCGCUUGAGAUAGUUGGCGGUCCCGUUCAUCCCUUACUUGUUGCAAUUCUCCUCUGAGAGAAGCAACUUCACUAACCAGAGUGUCCUUUUGUUUUAUGGCCUCAUCUUGAGAAGACUAUUAAAAGAACACAAGAAAUUGGGUGGGUAAUUUACUAAGAAACUAAAAUAGAACAAACCAAACAGGAAAUGAAGUAACCAACAAGGAGUUGGUCCAAUGGUGUAAGACACAAAUGGAUCCCCACUUAUCGUACAAGCCCAAAGGCCAAGGUUCGAUCCCUAGGAGCGGUAGUCAUGCACCCUGAAAAAGAUUGAUUCCUUAUCCUUAGGGUGAAGGGACACCCUUGGUUAUCACAAAACAAUAGGAAAUGAAGUGUAAUGACUAUGGUUUUAGGCAAUGAAUGAAGAAAAGAGAGUUUGAUAUUGUUGUGACCAAAAUAUGAUAUGAAAGACGAAUCCAACAGUACUAUUUAUACUAAUAAUAGACUCUUAGUCCUAAGUAAGAUAAUAAAAAAUAAAAAAAACAAAUCAAGGAUUAUAAAUAGAAAUAAAACCUAAGAGAUUAUCUAAUAUCCUCAAAAUUAUUCUAAGAUCCAAUAAUAAUAUUACGAAAUGUUUUCCCUAUAUUUUAACACUACUAAACUGCCAGUAUGUCACUUUUACACAGUCAAGUUGAAUUCCAACUUUUAAAUGAUCAAACAUGAAAACAAACUCACAAUGGACAAGGUAAGUUGACUCCUUAACAUGGUGAUGUUCUCCAGAGCAGCAAACUUCUCUUUCUCUACGCGUUUAAGUUCAUCUUCAACUGAUGAAAGCUCUGUAUGUAGCUUUCCAUUGUACUGUUGUAAGCUUGUUAUGUAAUCCUGUAACCUUUUAUACAUGUCAUUGAGUGAUGAUAUCUGCAGAAAUACAUAGAUAAAGCAUAUAUUAAUUAGUAUAGUUCCUAUGAUAUAAAAGGAUCAAAAGUGGAAAGAAAUUUAUUGAAUUGAAAUUACUCUAUCAUUUCACCUUCUGAUUUGCAUUUUGAAUCUCUCUUUGAGCUUUGCUAAGGUCCUCAGACAGAGUAGUCUGUGACCUCUCAAUGUUAAGCCUAGCCUCCCUCUCUUUUUCAAGAGAUUCUACUGCAACCUUGUAUUUGCAAAUAUAAUACAAGGUAUAGAAUUUAUGAAUAACAUUUCCUUUGCUCAAAAUAGUAUCCUAUUUGAAAUUUGACUGACAUGAAAAUCUUUCUUACCACCCUUUCCGAUUCUUCCUUAAUCAAUUUCUCUUGCAAAGAAGCGCAAUUCCUUCUCAUUUCUGUUAUAAUUGAAUUUAGUUCUUCUUCCUUGAUUUUAAGCAGCAACUCUGUGAUUAAUAUAAAGAUAAGCACAUUAGUCCCAUAGUCACAUGAUACGCACUACCACUUCUUCCAGUGCGCUUUACGCGGUUCCUUCUGGGCAGUUAGUCAGUUUUUAUAUUAUUAUUACAAGACUUUCAAAUGGGCGAACCCUUAUGUGGUGCAUGGAAUUUUCACAAAUCAAAUUAGAUAAGAAUGAAAGUAAUCUUACCAAUUUCUAUGCAUUUCUGUUGGGUUAAUUCCAAUGAAUUCUUUAACCUUUCCUGCUCUAGUGAGUAGUUCAUCUCAAGAUCUUGGAACCAUCUAAUGCAAACCUUAAGCCUUCUUAUAUAGUCCAUCAUAUUUUCACAUCUUUCCUGAAAACAUAAAGGUUGAUGUUAAUAUAUGAAUAAUCAAGCAGUAUUUCUAGUUAACAUGAAAAUCAAAUAACACACAAAGGCAUCAACAACCUUAAAUUCAGAAACUCUAACUGACCUUGUAAUUAAAUCUGUCUUUUCUUUUGGCUUUCUCANNNNNNNNNNNNNNNNNNNNNNNNNNNNNNNNNNNNNNNNNNNNNNNNNNNNNNNNNNNNNNNNNNNNNNNNNNNNNNNNNNNNNNNNNNNNNNNNNNNNAUUCUGACAACCAAUAUCAAACCGUGAGGAAUUUGAUUCAUUCACAGCCGAAGCUCAGAAUGCCUUCAUUCGCUCUACAGUUGAAGCUCAGAAUGCACUGUUUUGUUCUGAAUUUCAGAAGUUGAUUAUGUUGAUCAGGGGUGACCACACUGUAGCUAUUCUUGAUGAUGAGAUUGAUUUUCCUCCACCUCAACCGUAGCUUAGGAGACCAGUGCAAACAUAUAUAUUCAUUUAUAUUAUAUGAAUCCCUAGCAAAAAGGUGAGACUCACAGGAAAGCCUUGAUUGGUAGCAUAAGUGAUGUAGUCUUCCCAUGAUUUCCAUGACUCUAUUUUCACAACCUUAGAUUUUUUGAGUUGAUAUUGGCUCUCCAUUUGUUUUUGCUUCUCCUUCUUCAAAGGGGGUGCUAUAUAUAUAUAUAUAUAUUAUAUAAUAUGCUUUGGGAUAAAGUAAGUUAUAAAAGUUAGUCUAUAUUUGAAAUGAUGAAUUUUCUUUUUUAUAAACAUAAGUUGAAUUGAUAUAUUGAUAUAUAAUACUGGUUAUAAUAAAUGUAAUCGAGAUAGGUCCUUGUUUUAGACAAUUCUUCGGUCUUGCUCCUUCUAUGCACGCAUCGAUAGAAAUUAUCGUAACUUAGUAACACACACUUUCAUUAUCUAUUAAUAAUAUAAAGUAACACAAAUAUUGGGUUGUUGACAGGGAAUGCUACACACACAAAAAAUAACAGACUUUAUUAAAUUAAAUUGCACACAUCUAUCUACCAAACAACACACAAUUUGAUAGUUGUCAGUUUUGCUCAGACUCAUAUUAUUUAAUAUUAGAAAGAAUAUAACUAAUUAAAUCAAGUUGUAUCAUAUUUAUCUUAACACAUACCCUUCAUGUGUAGGACUAAACGAUAACAUAUGAUGUGUGAAGUUUGCAAAAGACUAAACAUAUGUGAGUAGCCAAUUGGAAGAGUUGGCUCUGAUACAUAUAAAAAUGAUCAGAUUUAACUCAACCUCAAAAGUUAGCUCUUAUGGUGAGAACUGUCUAAACUUUAUUAAGUAAUAGUUGGAUUAUAUUUUGAUGACAUGUUGAACUUC
rnacentral:lncRNA from 1 species